CCGUGGCGCCGGCAGAGGAGGGACGUGCUGUGUGUCCUGGAACGACAUGGCGCGGGGCGCUGUCCCGUGCGCCUGUCCGUCCGGGUCGGGCGCGGCGGGCCA
rnacentral:tRNA from 1 species